rnacentral:rRNA from 1 species
AGCGAACGCUGGCGGCAGGCCUAACACAUGCAAGUCGAACGAACUCUUCGGAGUUAGCGGCGGACGGGUGUGUAACGCGUGGGAACGUGCCCUUUGCUUCGGAAUAGCCCCGGGAAACUGGGAGUAAUACCGAAUGUGCCCUACGGGGGAAAGAUUUAUCGGCAAAGGAUCGGCCCGCGUUGGAUUUGGUAGUUGGUGGGGUAAUGGCCUACCAAGCCGACGAUCCAUAGCUGGUUUGAGAGGAUGAUCAGCCACACUGGGACUGAGACACGGCCCAGACUCCUACGGGAGGCAGCAGUGGGGAAUCUUAGACAAUGGGCGCAAGCCUGAUCUAGCCAUGCCGCGUGAGCGAUGAAGGCCUUAGGGUUGUAAAGCUCUUUCGUGGGGGAAGAUAAUGACGGUACCCCAAGAAGAAGCCCCGGCUAACUCCGUGCCAGCCGCCGCUGUAAUAC